UCCCACUUCGCUCUUCACUUCUCAUCGCUUCCUCGUUCCAUUUAAACAUUAGAUUCCUUCCAGCAGCGGUGUUUGCGUGAUUUCGAAGAUAAGAACACAGAAGCCCAGGGAAGAUAAGUAACCUCCCAAACAUCGCACAGCAGCUUGAGAAAAUCCUGAAGAUGGAAUCUGUUGGAACCAUGUUGGCUUAUCUGUUCAUCUCUGGACUAAUCAAUGGGGACAGCAGGAUAAGGUAGUAUGGAUGGCUCGAUCUGGAUUAUGUGUGCACUCCUAUGGCUAGAGGAUAGGUCUGUUAUGGGAAGAGGGGAGGGGAUUGCACAGACAUGGCUACUGCUGGGAGUCGUGAAGUUGUCCCAAUUUGUCACUACUUUAUUAAACCAAACAGGACAAUGCUAAUAAUCAUAAAAACAGAAGUUAUUGAAAAUAAAUAAAACCCAUAAAUAAGCUCAAACAUUCUUUUGCUGAAAGAGAAAAUAAAAUAGAUAAGCCUCUGGCUUCGUCAAGAAAAGACAAACACAAACAUAGAUUUAGAAAUGAGAAAUUAGGAAAAGGAUAUUGGCCAUAUCAAAUUUGAGUGGCAGAUUUAUGCUAAUUGUGUUGAAAAACUUUGUAAAAUAUAUGUGCCUUUUUCAGAAUGUGGCGACAUAAUUUUGAAAGUCAUUUAUAAUAAUAAAUGGAAGAAAAUUACUGAGAAUCUUUUGAAAGAGAGAGGGGAUGACUUUUUCUACUUGUUAAAACAUAAAAU